AGUAGUUUGAUCCGUGGCUCGGGACGAACGCUGGCGGCGUGCUUAACACAUGCAAGUCGAACGAUGAAGCCCCUUCGGGGGUGGAUUAGUGGCGAACGGGUGAGUAACACGUGGGCAAUCUGCCCUGCACUCUGGGACAAGCCCUGGAAACGGGGUCUAAUACCGGAUACGACACAGGGAGGCAUCUCCUCUGUGUGGAAAGCUCCGGCGGUGCAGGAUGAGCCCGCGGCCUAUCAGCUUGUUGGUGAGGUAACGGCUCACCAAGGCGACGACGGGUAGCCGGCCUGAGAGGGCGGCCGGCCACACUGGGACUGAGACACGGCCCAGACUCCUACGGGAGGCAGCAGUGGGGAAUAUUGCACAAUGGGCGCAAGCCUGAUGCAGCGACGCCGCGUGAGGGAUGACGGCCUUCGGGUUGUAAACCUCUUUCAGCAGGGAAGAAGCGCAAGUGACGGUACCUGCAGAAGAAGCGCCGGCUAACUACGUG
rnacentral:rRNA from 1 species